UUGAUUUAUUUUUUUUGCUUGCGCUACUCAGAAGAUUCAUGGUAAAAACAAGAGUUUAGGCCUCCGGCGGGCGCCUGGUUCCGGGGCACGCAGCACCCGGGGCGGUCCGCCGAAGCAACAGUGGUAUGUUCACAUGGGUUUGGGAGUUGAAAACUCGGUAAUGAUCCCUCCGCUGGUUCACCAACGGAGA
rnacentral:misc_RNA from 1 species